rnacentral:tRNA from 1 species
CGCGGGGCGGAGCAGCUUGGUAGCUCGUCGGGCUCAUAACCCGAAGGUCGUUGGUUCAAAUCCGGCCCCCGCAACCA